GACGAGAGGGUGCAAACGUUGUUCGGAAUUACUGGGCGUAAAGCGCGUGUAGGCGGCCCUGCAAGUCGGAUGUGAAAUCCCACGGCUCAACCGUGGAAGUGCAUUCGAAACUGCAGGGCUAGAGUCCUGGAGAGGAAGGUGGAAUGCUUGGUGUAGAGGUGAAAUUCGUAGAUAUCAAGCGGAACACCGGUGGCGAAGGCGGUUCUCUGGGCAUGUCCUGACGCUGAGGAGCGAAAGUGUGGGGAGCGAACAGGAUUAGAGUACCC
rnacentral:rRNA from 1 species